ACACCUAUAGUUCAAUGGUAGAACCAUGGUCUCCAAAACCAUUAAUAUAAGUUCGAAUCUUAUUGGGUGUGCCA
rnacentral:tRNA from 1 species